rnacentral:rRNA from 1 species
CCUACGGGAGGCAGCAGUGGGGAAUAUUGGGCAAUGGGCGCAAGCCUGACCCAGCAACGCCGCGUGAGCGAUGAAGGUCUUCGGAUUGUAAAGCUCUGUCGCAAGGGACGAAGUAUGACGGUACCCUGUAAUAACGCCCCGGCAAACUACGUGCCAGCAGCCGCGGUCAUUCGUAGGGGGCUAGGGUUGUCCGGAAUUACUGGGCGUAAAGGGAGUGUAGACGGCUUGUCAAGGUAAGUGUGAAAUCCUGCGGCUUAACCGUAGAAUUGCACUUAAAACUGACUCGCUAGAGUGCAGGAGAGGUGAGUGGAAUUCCGAGUGUAGCGGUGGAAUGCGUAGAUAUUAGGAGGAACACCAGAGGCGAAGGCGGCUCACUGGACUGUAACUGACGUUGAGGCUCGAAAGCGUGGGGAGCAAACAGGAUUAGAUACCCCAGUAGUC